GAACCAGUACCGUGAGGGAAAGGUGAAAAGCACCCCGACGAGGGGAGUGAAACAGACCCUGAAACUGGACGCCUACAAGCAGUCGGAGGGCGAAAGCCUGACGGCGUACCUUUUGUAUAAUGGGUCAGCGACUUCGUCUCUCGAGCAAGCUUAAGCCGAUAGGUGUAGGCGUAGCGAAAGCGAGUCUUAAUAGGGCGACUAAGUUUGUUGGAUUAGACCCGAAACCGAGUGAUCUAGGUAUGAGCAGG
rnacentral:rRNA from 1 species